CAGUAGCCGCGGGAAUACAGAGGGUGCGAGCGUUAAUCGGAUUUACUGGGCGUAAAGCGUGCGUAGGCGGCUUUUUAAGUCGGAUGUGAAAUCCCUGAGCUUAACUUAGGAAUUGCAUUCGAUACUGGGAAGCUAGAGUAUGGGAGAGGAUGGUAGAAUUCCAGGUGUAGCGGUGAAAUGCGUAGAGAUCUGGAGGAAUACCGAUGGCGAAGGCAGCCAUCUGGCCUAAUACUAACGCUGAGGUACGAAAGCAUGGGGAGCAAACAGGAUUAGAUACCCCUGUAGUCCCUGUCUCUUAUAC
rnacentral:rRNA from 1 species